rnacentral:rRNA from 1 species
GACGAACGCUGGCGGCGUGCUUAACACAUGCAAGUCGAACGGAAAGGCCCUGCUUUUGUGGGGUGCUCGAGUGGCGAACGGGUGAUUAACACGUGAGUAACCUGCCCUUGACUUUGGGAUAACUUCAGGAAACUGGGGCUAAUACCGGAUAGGAGCUCCUGCUGCAUGGUGGGGGUUGGAAAGUUUCGGCGGUUGGGGAUGGACUCGCGGCUUAUCAGCUUGUUGGUGGGGUAGUGGCUUACCAAGGCUUUGACGGGUAGCCGGCCUGAGCGGGUGACCGGCCACAUUGGGACUGAGAUACGGCCCAGACUCCUACGGGAGGCAGCAGUGGGGAAUAUUGCACAAUGGGCGGAAGCCUGAUGCAGCAACGCCGCGUGCGGGAUGACGGCCUUCGGGUUGUAAACCGCUUUCGCCUGUGACGAAGCGUGAGUGACGGUAAUGGGUAAAGAAGCACCGGCUAACUACGUG